GGAAAAAGAAGAGUGGCGAACGGGUGAGUAACACGUGGGUAACCUGCCCAUCAGAAGGGGAUAACACUUGGAAACAGGUGCUAAUACCGUAUAACAAUCAAAACCGCAUGGUUUUGAUUUGAAAGGCGCUUUCGGGUGUCGCUGAUGGAUGGACCCGCGGUGCAUUAGCUAGUUGGUGAGGUAACGGCUCACCAAGGCCACGAUGCAUAGCCGACCUGAGAGGGUGAUCGGCCACAUUGGGACUGAGACACGGCCCAAACUCCUACGGGAGGCAGCAGUAGGGAAUCUUCGGCAAUGGACGAAAGUCUGACCGAGCAACGCCGCGUGAGUGAAGAAGGUUUUCGGAUCGUAAAACUCUGUUGUUAGAGAAGAACAAGGAUGAGAGUAACUGUUCAUCCCUUGACGGUAUCUAACCAGAAAGCCACGGCUAACUACGUGCCAGCAGCCGCGGUAAUACGUAGGUGGCAAGCGUUGUCCGGAUUUAUUGGGCGUAAAGCGAGCGCAGGCGGUUUCUUAAGUCUGAUGUGAAAGCCCCCGGCU
rnacentral:rRNA from 1 species